GAAAAGGAAGGAACACACGUACACACAAAUCCCAUAGCUAAUAAUUAAUUAAUUCAUUAAUCAGUCAUAGAAAGAGAGAAGGGGGGGAAGGAGUCUUACCACCAAAUUGGGUAACCGGCUAAGACCUUUGUGCCAUUGAAGAGAAAAGAUAAAAUUAGUCCAAGCAGGUGGUAAUCCAUUAGUCCAGGCUGGUGCAAGGGGAAAAUCUCAGUGAAGUUUUCAGAAAAACAUUAAGUGCGAAAAAUGAAGAAUCCCCCUCCUCCCAGAAAAAAAAAAAAAAAAAAAAGAGUUAAACAAAGUCCCUUGUAGUGCGGAUGACUUUCUGGCUUGUCAGAAACACACCUCUCCAAGCCUUUUCCCUGUAGAUCAUCCAAAAGCGUCUAUUAAAAAGUGCAGGGCUUGGGGAUGUCAGCAGGCAGCCAAUCAGACCGCAUGGCCCAAGAAACCCAGGAUGCACAGACCCUGCUUUCGGCUUCGCUUGCCAAGACUUUGCAAGCUUGUCUUCCUUUCUCCAUUAGCAUCUACCAUCAGGAAGGAAUCAAGUGCCUGGGGAAGGUGACAGAACCAUGGAGUCUCCUGGAUUUGUUCUUACAUGCAUUUCAACAUACGUUUCAACACUGAUGAGUGUGAGCCACCAGGAACUCAAACCCUUCCUGGUGCGGUUAAGCUGCCCUUGGUGGAAUUACUCCAUCAUCAGUGUGACAUGAAGAGGAUGACUCAAACCGCACCGCGAAGGGCAAGAGAUGGAUGAUCUGGGAUGACUUGACAGAGGGAGUUUAGAUGCCUGAUUCGGUGUGUUGGGGAAGGCAGGGAAUGUACGAGACCUGUGUUCCGUCGUACAGCACUAAGCAAUAGUAUCAGAGCACUUGAUUUGCAGGUCGACUGCGGUUCAGUGGUGGAGGGUGGCUUAGUUGGGUGCUAGAUGUUGAAUUGCACAUUUGGGUGCUUCUGGGCAUGGCCAGAAACAGAAACUGAGAAGGGGGUCCCUCAGGACCUUUAGAGGUUCCUUUGGGUCCUUUAGGGGGUUUCAAGCCUUAGAAGCAGCUGAGUUUGUUGUUUUGAAGACCUAUAUUUUGGACUUAGUACCUAAACUUACUUGUUCCUCAUUUUUCUCGGCCAAAUCUCCUCCCUUCUAGAUCCUUAUGUUCCCUCUGGCUCCAACAGCCUGUCCUGCUCUGCUCUUUCUGGUUCUUCAUAGCUUGGUUCAUGGUGGCUGGGCACACCGAGGCAGUCAUUAUCUGGAAACAGUGAUCCGGUAUUAACACCUGACAGAGCGAUUUAAAGGGUGUCAAUGGGUAUUACAUCACUCCUGAUCUUCUUUGGACAGGAACAUCUUUCUAUAUUUCCACGUAUCUUCUCGAUGUGCUCCAUCACCAGUGAUCUAGGGGUAUACUCCAGCACAUUGACAUUGCAUGGACCAACCUAGAAUACCCCUCACUCCUGUUAGGUGCAUCAUCUCCAGAAAAGCUUUAAUACUCUCUCCAGGAAAGCUCAGGUCUUACGCAGGGUUGUGGGAAGGCUGCCUUCCACGUCUGCCUGCCCAUUAUGGCCAGUGGAGCACUGCCUGCAGUGUAAAGCUGCUUGGUGCCCACAGGAGAGGUAGCCACAGAGGAAAAGUAUCCACUCUGAAAGGAAAAUGGACCCUCACCUGUUCAGAUGAGCACCAUGAUGUUGUUUCUAACUGAUACUUUUUGGAAAUUCCACUUUGCUGAAGACACAGGUAUAAAGCAGAGGAAAAUCAGGCUUUAGCUGAAGGUUUGGUGGGUGCUGAGAGGAUGGUGGUAGAAAGCUCUGAGUUUAGUGAAACCCUUCAGAGUUGUUUUUAGAGUUUUAGGAAUAACUUUAUGGCUAUUUUUUUCCCUGCAAAUAGCCUUACCUCACUUCAAUUUUUUGCAAACUAUUCUAAGCUCAUGUCACAGAAAUCCUGCACUUAGGAUAUUUUUUGUCUUCCAGAAAAGGUAGAAACCAUUUUGAACCAAGUUUUGCUGCAAUAUACCAGAAGGCCUUGAGGCUAAGGGACUGGGACUUCUGGGUUGUUGGUUUUUUUUUUGUUUAGAAACAAAAGAUGACAUUUCUAAAAUGUUGGUGGAGUAACCUGCUCUAGUACCUGAUGUAAUAGCCAAACUCAAGAAACUUGGGUUGUGUUCUCAACUUUGCCAAUGACUCCUCAUAUGAUUUUGAUGGCUCAGGUUCCUUAUCUAUCCCUGUAUUUCUUGCUUGUAAAACUUGGGAAAUAAUUGCUUCUAUGCAUACCCUAUCACCUCCUUCAGAAGGGAACUGUCUCACCCUCUGUGCAGACCUGAUCCAGAACAGCAAGGGACAGCUAUGACUUAAUAUUUUUUAUUAUUAACAGAACUGCUGUUACUGAACAUACGGGCAGAACUGGAAUACCAGUCCUUGUAUUUGAAGGGCAGAAUGAAUGAUAAAUGGUGUUCCCUGUGGUUUAGUUUUUCUCCUCCUUUUUACUCACAUAUAUCUUGUUCUGUGGCCAGAGGAUCAUAGGAAAGACGUGAAGUGAAAAUGCUGACUGCUUGUUUCCCACCAUUGCCAGUAAGUCAGAAAUUUUUAAGGACACUUCGUCUCAGUGCCUGGGUGCCACUGAACUGGAGCUGUUACAGACUUUGAAUAAAACCACCUUUCUUUCACUGACACCUACUUAAAUUCCUUUAGCACCUCACAGUUCAAACUCUGGUUAGAUAUUCAGAUCUUUCCUCUGUCUUGCCAUGGAGAUCUUGAGAAAAAAAUCACCUAAUGAAGCCUUAAGAUGCAUGGAUUUUUAGUGACUAUGACAACUCAGAACAGAGAGAGCUGGCAAUGAAACCCAUCUCAAACUUCAGUAAAUACAAGGACAUAAAUGUUAUGUUUGACUCGCACAGUUUUACCUGAAAUGGUGUUGGCUCACAUUGCACCAUGUGGGGACACUGCUUCCGCAAUGGACUUAGAAAGAGGCAGUACUUGUGAUGAAGCUUUAAAGUCUUCUAUUCUUCUACCCAAGUCAUCCCUACUGUCUUCUGAAGUGAAGGGAGAUCUGUGUCUGGCAGAGUGGGACACCUGUCCCAUCAGCCCUCAGUUAGUAGUGGGAAAACUAUUUCCAGACAACUUCCAGCGUCUUUUCAGUCUUCACCUGAGCAAGUUCGGCAGGCUGAUGCCCAGUGGAAAAGGUCUCAGGAGGGUUUCUUGCACAUUGAUGUGAUUUUUUUCAUCAAUGUGGAGCAAUAUCUCAGGAUACUGGAGAGGCAUGACUAGGAUGCUUUAGUAUGUGUAGAGCCCUGACUGGCCGACACAUGUGUACAUGGUCUACACAUAGGUGAAUGUGAGCAAGCAUAGAUAAGGAUAAGGAUGUGCAGGUCAGUGGUCACGGGUAUAUAAGGCCUUGCUGGUGGGGAAGCAGCCUCAAGGCAUGUCCAUUAUAAAAAGCGCUGUAUAACUAGUGCAUGGUGUCUCUCUGAAAUUCUGUAGCUCAGGACAAUUUUACACCUUGUAAAAGGUGAAAACCACCUUGUGUGUGAGGUCAGCCUUGCUUUAUGGGAGAAGCAGAGCUGCCUUUCACAAAGUUAGUUAAUCUAACUAACUGGACUAGCUGAGCGUAUGAAGAAACUGUGCCUAAGGUCUUGGGCUUGUUUGAAGACAGUUCUGUCUACCUUGACAUCCAGAGGUAUGGAUCCUGGGGAUGAGGGGAAGGGAUAGAGAGCAAAGAGGGCAGAGUCAUUCCUCUCCCUUCCUUCUUUCCCCAAGACUCCAGCCUAGCAAUAUCCUGGAGGCUGAAGAAUACAUGGUGAAAAAUUAGACCAGAUGUUUUUUGCUGCAGGCUAUGACUUCCCAUGAUGAUGUUGUAGCUGGAAAUCAUGGGGCCCUCUGACUUAGGCAAGUGCUUGUGUUGUUGGAGCAAAAGGAGCCGCAUGCGUUUACAUCAAUGUUGCGUAUCUCCUGGGCUGUUUGGUCAGCCGUGCUGUAGGGUAAUGGUAGGCACUGCCGCUGGGGUACUGCUAGGACUGGAGAUCUCCUUGCUGAGACUCUGCCAACUGCCCAGGCUGAAGUGCCCACCUAUAAUGUCCCCUUCUACUCACACUUCAGUCCUGGGCGUGCCAGCAGGGAAGUGUCAUAGCCCAGCACAGCCGACACAACACAAGAGCAGGGUUAAGCAAUAUUCUUUUGCUUUUUUGCACAGCUGUAAGGAGCUGCAUCCCCCAUGCUAAUGGUACUGCCAAAGGUAGGGACCGAUGACAUAGAUCUCAGUCUUUCUUGCAUCUUGGGUUAUCACCUGCACUCAUAGAGUGGGUGUGAGACACAUGCUGGAUCUGGCAUUGCUGUGCAUGGCCAAGACAUUGACUGUCUUAGGGCACGGUGCUCCGCAGGCCCCCGGCAGCCCUUGCUGUGCCUGAACACUUGGUGCAAGAGGAGCUCUGCUCAGACUUGGCCUGGUUCAGCUAUGUGUGGGCACGGCAGAGCAGGGAUGCCAGGUUGGGAUUGUCCUGUGCCCCUUCUGAGAAGGCUCAGCCUGAAAUAUCAGACAAUCACAACUUUUGCUUGAUCACUAUGAGGAUGUUGGGCUAAAACAUAAGAAGAUAAAAUACUGGGGAGGGAUGAAGUGGCAGAGAUGGGACAAAUAUCCUGACAGGAAGCUGGGCUGGGCUUUGCUGAGCUGGGGCUGGGACUGAGCUUUGUUGAGCUGAGGCUGGGCUGGGGCUGAGUUUGGACUGGGCUUUGCCGGGCUGGGUCUGAGGUUUGCUGGUUCAGGGGAUGAGAAAAGGCGAGGGCAGCUGGCUGGAGGCAGACAGGAGGUCUGGAGCAGUGCCUGCAGAGCAGCCUGGUGGGGAUUCAAUCCGGGAAGUUUUAAUGACACAACAACAACAACAACAAAAGAGGAAAGGGGGGAGAGGAAGAAAAGGCUCCUGCAGGGCUGGUUGCCACGGAGACCCCAAGGAAGUUUGAACCAGUCCUGCUCUUUUCACAGCCGCCUUUGAGCCAAGGAGGGAAUUAUGGCUGGCGAUAAAAGGAGACAUGUGGCCCUUUGCUCACAGGGACCGGCCUCUGCAGUUACGAGUCUUCGGCUCAUUUUCACCCUUGUCUCCUCCUGCAAUUAUACAUUCGAUCUCAGGAAAAAAGCAAAAUGCAAAAAAGAAAAAAAUCUAGGACAAGUUGUGCACCCUUUGCCCUGGGGACCCAUCCCUGCAGGGCAGACCACUACCUCUUUCAGCCCAUUAUUCCCCCCUCCGCAAUGUGCCACCCCCAUUUCCUCUGUAGUUAUUAAAUUUUUACAUGUUCAGAGCUGAUAAACAGCUCGUGCCGUCUGUCGUCACACUAACCCCUGCAACGAUACACCCUCCACAAGGAAAGGGGGGGCUGAAGACCUUUUCCAGGGGAGCUGGAAACAGUUUUCUUGCUUGCCAAUGCUCUUGGAUUUUCAGGAGGGAUCUGGCUGACCAAAUGCCAGAAAUUAAAGUGAAAGGGAUAAAUUCAGCUGUGUGCUGCCUCCUCCAAUUUCUUCAGCGACAGUUGCGUAAUGCAAGCCCCGACGACGUUGUGUUGUAGUGCUCAGGUUAUGCUCUUAGAUCUUCCUCAUCAUGGAAUUAGAGCUGGAUACUUGCACUUCCAGUUGAUGGUGAAAUAUGCUGCAAAAAAUCCUGCUCAGACCCAUUUGAUGUUAUACACAAGGAACAAAAAGGCAAAGGGAAGGCAGACGUGCCAGCAUGAGGAAUGAGUGUCCUGCAGGCAUAGCACAGCACUGGGAGCAAAGCAUUUCUCAGCCUGCAGCUCUCCCCUCCUGGCCAGUGGACUCAGCUGGGUUAACAGAGCCCAGUCCUCCUUUUUCAUGUGUUGUCAGGGGUUUUCAGGUCUUCUUGGACCCUUGCUGCAGAAGUGUCAUGGUGAGCUAUGAAAAAGCAGGUAUGGCUGGGCACAUGGGGUGGUGACUGAGGCUGGGCUCUGCUCUCCCUCCCAACCCUGAGGACAUUGCUCCAGGGCCCACUUCCCCUCUUGUGCUGAGCUGUGCUGUUGGAUGCUGUGACGGGAGUGAGGCAGCAGGACCGAGGGGAGAGGCUGGGUCAGGGUGGGUAACCUGCUUCUGGCUCUCACCCUACAGUAGCCUUCUGCUGCUGACAGCAGAGCUACCUGCAGCCAAACACUGAACGGGACUGGAGGGUCAAGGUGCCAAUGCGGGGGCUGGACUGAUGGAGUUGAUAUGACUGUGCAGAGCUGAGUUUGUUUCCAUCAGCUUCUUGGAUUUCUUUUUAAACCCAGAACUCUGUUUGAAGGGAACUUUUUACCUGGAGAGAUUGUGGAAGUUUUGGAGACUCAGGCAGACAAAACCAUGGGAAACCUUCUGGCAUGGGAAACCGUCUUGCUUUCAGCAGGAGGUUGGAUUGGAGAUCUCCAGAGGUUCCUUCCCACCAGCACUUUGAUGAGUUGAUGUUGCUGCUGUAUUGCUUCACAAGUUAAUUAACUAUUUAGUCUAGGUUUUGUGCAUGAUAAUAACACAAAACACUUAAAUAGUCCAGAAUACCUUCACAGGAGUCAUCUGACUAGUGGGUUACAAAGCCAAGGUCCUGCUUAUUUUUUCUCCCAGGCUCCACGCAGCAGGUAAGGUGUGUGGCUGGGCAGAUAAACACCCUGCAUGGUGCAAGCAGAAUUAUGUCCCCUGGAAGCUGUCCUGAAAGUGGGUACCAUCCCGGGAUCAUGGUAGAAAUUCAGACAUGAACCCUGCCUGCUGCCAGAAGCUGAACGACAGCCACCCAUUUCCAGUGAUGAAUCUCUCUGCUCAUGAAGAACCUGCCCUUAAUGAGGAAAGUUAAUAUCAUUAAACGAAGAGCAUCUGGAACAAUUGAGAAUUAUUUGGACAGGUGUUUUUAGACAUGUUUUUGCCUGCCUUUUCCAGGUUUUAGUGUUCUGGGUAGCUCUGUCUCCCAUUCCCACUGCUGCCCCUGGACACAAAACCAUGCAUCCCGCCCUCCUAACACCCAAACGGGCUUUUAUUUCUCAUCUCCUACCAUGGUCCUACUUUACAGAGUACCUGAUAAUUUCCAGGCUCUGUGCUUAGCACUUUUGCAGUGUCUGAGGACACUCCUGCCUGCUGUCUUCAGACAAAAAUAAAAGGAACC